rnacentral:rRNA from 1 species
GAGGAAAGUGGAAUUUCCAUGUGAAGCGGUGAAAUGCGUAGAGAUAUGGAGGAACACCAGUGGCGAAGGCGACUUUCUGGUCUGUAACUGACAAUGAGGCGCGAAAGCGUGGGGAGCAAACAGGAUAAGAUACCUUGGUAGUCCACGCCGUAAACGAUGAGUGCUAAGUGUAGAGGGUUUCCGCCCUUAAGUGCUGAAGUUAACGCAUUAAGCACUCCGCCUGGGGAGUACGGCCGCAAGGCUGAAACUCAAAGGAAUUGACGGGGGCCCGCACAAGCGGCGGAGCAUGUGGUUUAAUUCGAAGCAACGCGAAGAACCUUACCAGGUCUUGACAUCCUCUGAAAACCCUAGAGAUAGGGCUUCUCCUUCGGGAGCAGAGUGACAGGUGGUGCAUGGUUGUCGUCGGCUCGUGUCGUGAGAUGUUGGGUUAAGUCCCGCAACGAGCGCAACCCUUGAUCUUAGUUGCCAUCAUUAAGUUGGGCACUCUAAGGUGACUGCCGGUGACAAACCGGAGGAAGGUGGGGAUGACGUCAAAUCAUCAUGCCCCUUAUGACCUGGGCUACACACGUGCUACAAUGGACGGUACAAAGAGCUGCAAGACCGCGAGGUGGAGCUAAUCUCAUAAAACCGUUCUCAGUUCGGAUUGUAGGCUGCAACUCGCCUACAUGAAGCUGGAAUCGCUAGUAAUCGCGGAUCAGCAUGCCGCGGUGAAUACGUUCCCGGGCCUUGUACACACCGCCCGUCACACCACGGGAGUUUGUAACACCCGAAGUCGGUGGGGUAACCUUUAUGGAGCCAGCCGCCUAAGGUGGGACAGAUGAU